rnacentral:lncRNA from 1 species
UGCUGCCAAGUGCGAGCUUACAUUGGUAGUAACAAUGGUGAUGCAGUUCAUGGUGUUCGCAUGCGCCGACUCCCGCGUGUGCCCCUCCGUGGUGCUCAACUUCCAGCCCGGUGAAGCCUUCACUAUCCGCAACAUCGCCAACAUGGUCCCUCCCUAUGACCAGGUUAUAUACCUACCUACACACACGUCGGCUGUCAUCUCCUCUCUGCCGCUAUAUGAUGUCCAUCGCUUUCUCCGUGUAGGUUAAGUACGCCGGAGUUGGGGCCGCCAUCGAGUACGCUGUGCUCCAUCUCAAGGUCAGAUCUUGCUUCUUCACAUGAAGAAGAGAAAGCGUUUGUCCCACGUACAUGAUGGCGAUGUGUUGUGCAGGUGGAGAACAUAAUGGUGAUCGGCCACAGCCGCUGCGGUGGGAUCAAGGGACUCAUGUCCGUCAAGGACGACGGCACCACCAGCACGUAACCCCCAUUCCUCUCUCUCUCUCUCUCUCUCUCCUCUACAUUACAGCAUUAGCAUGUUAGAGGCUUGUGUUGACCAGUGACUUCAUCGAGGACUGGGUGAAGAUUUGUCUUCCCGCAAGAGACAAGGUGAAGGCCCAGCACUCCAGUUUGCCAUUCGAGGAGCAGUGCACCCAGUGCGAGAAGGUCAUAUUUGCAUGUUUGAGAUGUCAUGUCUCUUUCUAAUCUUCUUGCUAAACUAAAGCUUAAUCUCCGAUUACCUUCUUGCAGGAGGCUGUAAAUGUUUCACUGCAAAACCUGAAGACCUACCCCUUCGUGAAAGAUGCCGUGGAGAAGAAGUCCCUGAAACUGAUUGGAGCACACUAUGACUUCGUCAAUGGCGUCUUUGAGACAUGGGCGGACUAAAAGGCUCACCCUCGGCUGCUCAAUGUUAAAGCCGGAGUCUGUAGCAAUAACCUAUGAUGUAAUCAUGUGUUUCUGACCAUGGUGUUUACACACCAUGAUGUACUGUUCGACCCUUCUUUUGGAUCAGAACAUCAUUAAGAAUAUAAUAUCCAUCCAAGAUAAAAAUCUGAGAUCAAUAACCUGUAUUUUAGGUUCAGAAUGGCAAAUAUAAAUGGUUUCAGCAGUUAAA